rnacentral:lncRNA from 1 species
AGGGUUAUAUUAAUUUCAUAUUAUACAUUAGCGAUAGUGUCAAUUUGAAUAUCAAAUGAUAUCCUUAUGACCUGGGCUAUCAUUUUUGGUUACAAAUACAUCCUCAUCUCUUUUAUAUUUUAAAUUAGUUAUCUAAGGACCCUCAUGCCAGCCUUAAUAAGAAGCAGGGCCUCAACCUCUAAAAGGCCCAGCCUGCUGAAUUAUCCAAGACCCUAGGAACACACUUGGUCCAACUGAGGAAUGAGGGGAGGGAACAGUUCUCUCAAAUACCAGGCAGAGGGAGAAGAGGAGAACCCUCUCAGCCUUCCACCGUUCCUCUGGCUGCCGUAUGUUGUCACUGUUAAGAACAACUCUUGUCUGUCCUGAGACACUUUGCCAGUUGAAAUCCUGCUAGCACUGCGGUGGUUCUGUGUGCCUGGUCUCCAAGGUUACCACUUUCAUAGUUCAUGAGUACACGCUCUGCUGUUUUCCUUCAAAGCAGACCACCAUGCCAGGUGGCUGGUCCCAAGGAGCUUGCCAUCAUGGCACACCCUGCCACAGCUAGAUCUUCUCUGGAUGCUUGGGUUUGAAUGAGCCUUCCACAGCUAGAUAAUGCCCUUUCUUGUCAUUGUGCCUCGGGUCACUCAGGUACAUCGACAUUCCCAACUUCAGGUCUUACAGAACCUGCUUGUGCUUCUCAGAGGGUCCCAUUUAAAGAAAAAAAGACAUCUGUCAAGGAACCGUUUUCUGAACCCCUUUACUUGAAAGUGACAGAGCAUCUUAAGCCUCGUGCCCUUCCGGUUUAUCGUCAUCCUUCUGGGAGGACAUGACUUCAGAGACACCAAGGGUCUAUGGUCAGCAUCCUUCUAAUCUGCCACAAAUGGCCGACUGUGCUGGGUUGUAUGACGCCCCCACCCAUCCCCAAAGGUUUCCGAGUCCUGGUCAGCACAACUUGCAAAGAUGUUACCUUAGUUGACCAAAAGCACUUCGCUGGUGUGACUAAAGACCUUGAUAUGGAGAGAUCACCCUGGAUUAUUUGGGAGGGCCCAAGGUAAUCACUAGAGCCCUUGGAAGAGGGAGGCGGGAAGGUCAGAGUCUGAGAAGGCCAUGUGACGAAGGAAACAGACACCUGAGAGUCAGAGAGAGUUGAAGAUGUUACACUGCUGGCUGUGAAGAUGGAGGAAGGGGCCACAGCAAAGAAUGCAGACAUCCUCAAUCAGCUGGAAGAGGCAAGGAGGCGGAUUUUGACUUUAGAGCCUCCAGAGGGAGCCAGCCCACUGAUACCUGGACUUUUAGCACCGUGAGACUGAUUUUGGAUUUUUAACCUGCAAAAUUAUAAAAUAGUGAGUUUGUACUGUUUUAAGUCACUGUGUGUGUGUGUGAAUUUGUUACAGCAGCAACAGGAAACCAAUGAGCCUACCUUACACGAAGUAGAAGCAUUUGCACUCAGAGUCUUAGGGCUUCCUGGAAGCUCCUCUUUGAGAGCUGAGUGAUGCCUCCUUUGGACUUGGUUGCUGUAGAGGCAGCUGUGAGGACAUCCUCUGGAAGGUCUGAAUUCUCUAAAAUGCAAUGUUCUUCUUCAGACCAGCCUCCACAGGGACUGUAGGGUUGUGUCCUUAGCUGAUUUGCUUGUGUUCAUGUUCCUUAGCAAAAUAGUGGCGUCUCUAC